rnacentral:ncRNA from 1 species
GGAAGAGCUCUCUUUUCUUUUUAACAAGCAUGUCCUACCUUGGAAACGGAUUAUCCGGCGAUAAGGAGGAAGUCUUGGCAAAGCACUUUAUUUUUUGAAGUGUCCUGCGCGCCCAUGUCAGCCCUUGAAAAUCCUGGCUAGAGAUUUAUUCGCACCCUCGUUCGUACUCAUAACCGCAUCAGGUCUC